rnacentral:misc_RNA from 1 species
ACAACAUAAUUAAUUCCAUUAAAACAAAACAAGACGAUCAAGCUACAACCAAAAACUUUAAAGGAAAUUAAAACCAAAAGUAGGUUUGACAAUCAAAAUACAAGUAGGUCGGUAGGAGCUAAAAAGAUUGCAACAGCCACAAUUGUUCCGGUGACUGAAAGUUGAGGUCCGUUCUUGUAUCCGUCGGAGACGUCUUUGUUAGUAUCUGGUGAUGACGAUGCGGAUGGUGUGGUGGAUACAGGCGAUUUGCUGGUGGCAUUGGUGAAGAUGGCAUAGUCAGGAGAAGUUGGAGGAAUGUUGAGUAGCUUAGGACAGUUAGAGAUGGUAGCAUUAGUGAGUUUGCAAGCAGAAGGAAGCUGAAGCAAUUUUUCUUCUUGAAUUCCCAUACUCUUCAAUUGAGGACUUGAUCCUUUAUGGAUCUGUUCUAUUAUAUAACACAAACAAACCGGGUCAUGAUCUUUGAUAUCUUCCGCCGCAUCGCAACAUUCCUUCGAUGGCGACGGGGCCUUCCCCGUCGCGUACGUUAAACAUGCAGCCACUUUUUGAAACUCCGUACCACACUUAUCGCCCAAGCUCUUAUCAUCAUCACCAUUAGCUAUUACUAUUCCAAUAGAAACUAUUAGUAAAACUACUAACUUAUAUGCACUUGCCAUUUUAUUUUUAGGGAAGGAAAGUAAGG